GGAUGUGAAGGCCAUCUGGCUUUGACAUCUGUUACUCCAUUGAUGGCCAAGGUUUGAUUUGGCUGAUCUGGCUGGCUAGGUGGGUGUCCCCUUCCUCCCUCACCAUGUGUGUUGCUCCUAAAUCUGUGCUCUCUGUUGAAGAGGACAACCUUCCCAGAUAGAGGAGGACUGUUCUUUGGUCAAGGGUAUAGGGACAGCUGCACUCCCCUGUUAGAAAUUCCAAACAAGCUCUUCAGGUCCAUUUGUAGGAGAAGGUAUGGUAAUCAAGCUUCCAAGACUCCAGACACAUCCAAAUGAGGCACUUCGUUUU
ensembl:misc_RNA 7SK 7SK RNA